rnacentral:miRNA from 1 species
CACAGCUGUAAAAAUAUCUC